CAGUAGCCACGGGAAUACGAGGGGGGCAAGCGUUGUUCGGAAUUAUUGGGCGUAAAGGGUGCGUAGGCGGCUUGACAAGUCUUGUGUGAAAUCUAUGGGCUCAACCCAUAGUCUGCACGGGAAACUGUCGGGCUUGAGAAUGGGAGAGGUGAGUGGAAUUUCCGGUGUAGCGGUGAAAUGCGUAGAUAUCGGAAGGAACACCUGUGGCGAAAGCGGCUCACUGGACCAUUUCUGACGCUGAUGCACGAAAGCUAGGGGAGCAAACAGGAUUAGAUACCCCAGUAGUCCCUGUCUCUUAUAC
rnacentral:rRNA from 1 species